UUAAUUUUCAUCAACGACGGAUGUUCCGUCUUAACCUGGAAAUCUUUAAUUGAAAAGGAGCAGACUUCCGAAACAUCUAGGCUAAAUCCUCUUCGUCGUCGUUCUUUUCCUCUCGCCUUGCCGUCGGCUUAUUUUAUCUCGUCUCCCGUCGAAAUCCGGCAUCACAAAGGCAAGGAAAGAAUAAUGCUUGAGCUCUAUGGAUGCAGCGAUUAUGUUGUGGCCUCAACAAAACAGAAUCAGUAGGAGCAGCAAUAUGAAUACGGAAACUACCACCUCCAACUUUGUAUCUCAUAAUAGGUUUUGUUCCCUCAAGUUCUGCAAAUCUCAGGCUCUCGGCGGCCAAGACACGAGCAGAGCAAGGAAGUAAGUAACUCCACUUUGACGGGAGAUUUUGAGUAAGGUCUUCAGGAUAAGCGGAGGGGGAGUAUGGUGCGGUGCUGGUGGGGAAUGUUUCGGGUUGACGUUUUCUUUCUCUGUCAUAUGACUGUUUUGUCGAUAGAGUUUUGAUAUGAAGUUAUGUUAUAUUAAAUCAAACAUUUUACUCACGAUUAUGUGUCUUCAUACAUAUAGUCGGUUCACCUUUUGUUAUCACACUCUGAAUAUUUUGACUCUACAUAAAAAUUGAGCUAUACUUGUUUUGCUUUUCAU